GAUUUUAUAUCAGUAAGAGCCCUGAGAGAUGAUCAGGUAGAUAGGUUAGGAGUGUAAGUGUAGCGAUACAUGUAGCGGACUAAUACUAAUAGCUCGAGGACUUAUCCAAAA
rnacentral:rRNA from 1 species